rnacentral:rRNA from 1 species
GACGAACGCUGGCGGCGUGCUUAACACAUGCAAGUCGAACGGAAAGGCCCUGCUUGCAGGGUGCUCGUGUGGCGAACGGGUGAGUAACACGUGGGUGAUCUGCCCCUUACUUUGGGAUAAGCCUGGGAAACUGGGUCUACUACUGGAUAUGACCAUGCUGUAGGUGGUGUGGUGGUGAGAUUAGUUUCGGUAAGGGGUGAGCUCGCGGCCUAUCAGCUUGUUGGUGGGGUAAUGGCCUACCAAGGCGUCGACGGGUAGCCGGCCUGAGAGGGUGGACGGCCACAUUGGGACUGAGAUGCGGCCCAGACUCCGACGGGAGGCAACAUUGGGGAAUAGUGGCGCAUGGGAGCAAGAGUGAGGCAGCGGCGCCGCGUGGUGGAUGACGGCCCUCAGCUAGUAAGCGACAUCCAUCCAAGUCGAAGACCCUGUAGUGACGGUAGUGGAAGAAGAAGCACCGGCUAACUACGUG